rnacentral:rRNA from 1 species
GUGGGGAAUCUUCCGCAAUGGACGAAAGUCUGACGGAGCAACGCCGCGUGAGUGAAGAAGGUUUUCGGAUCGUAAAGCUCUUUCGUUAGGGACGAACGUGCUCUUUGUGAAUAAUGAGGAGUAAUGACGGUACCUAAAUAAGAAGCCACGGAUAACUACGUGCCAGCAGCCGCGGUAAUACGUAGGUGGCAAGCGUUGUCCGGAAUUAUUGGGCGUAAAGCGCGCGCAGGCGGGAUAUCAAGUCUGUCUUAAAAGUGCGAGGCUCAACCUCGUGAGGGGACAGGAACUGGUAUUCUUGAGUGUCGGAGAGGAAAGUGGAGUUCCAAGUGUAGCGGUGAAAUGCGUAGAGAUUUGGAAGAACACCAGUAGCGAAGGCGACUUUCUGGACGAUGUCUGACGCUGAGGCGCGAAAGCUAGGGGAGCGAACGGGAUUAGAUACCCCGGUAGUCC